GAUGAACGCUAGCUACAGGCUUAACACAUGCAAGUCGAGGGGCAGCGCAGUGUAGCAAUACAUGGGCGGCGACCGGCGCACGGGUGCGUAACGCGUAUCCAACCUUCCCGUUACUCAGGGAUAGCCUUCCGAAAGGGAGAUUAAUACCUGAUGGUGUUGAAAUUCCGCAUGUUAUUUCAACUAAAGAUUUAUCGGUAACGGAUGGGGAUGCGUGACAUUAGAUAGUAGGCGGGGUAACGGCCCACCUAGUCUACGAUGGCUAGGGGUUCUGAGAGGAAGGUCCCCCACAGUGGAACUGAGACACGGUCCAGACUCCUACGGGAGGCAGCAGUGAGGAAUAUUGGUCAAUGGUCGGAAGACUGAACCAGCCAAGUAGCGUGAAGGAUGAAGGUUCUAUGGAUUGUAAACUUCUUUUAUACGGGAAUAAAACCUCCCACGUGUGGGAGCUUGUAUGUACCGUAUGGAUAAGCAUCGGCUAACUCCGUGCCAGCAGCCGCAGUAAGAC
rnacentral:rRNA from 1 species